GAGGUUGUUGCUCAGUGGUAGAGCACUUGCCUGGCAUGUGUGAGGCACUGGGUUCAAUUCUCAGCACCACA
rnacentral:tRNA from 2 species